CCUACGGGGUGCAGCAGUGGGGAAUAUUGGGCAAUGGAGGCAACUCUUACCCAGCAAUGCCGCGUGAAUGAAGAAGGUCUUCGGAUUGUAAAGUUCUUUAAUUGGGGACGAAAAAAAUGACGGUACCCAAGGAAUAAGCCCCGGCUAACUACGUGCCAGCAGCCGCGGUAAUACGUAUGGUGCAAGCGUUAUCCGGAUUUACUGGGUGUAAAGGGAGCGCAGGCGGCGCGUUAAGCCUGGUGUGAAAGUCCGCGGCCCAACCGCGGGACUGCAUUGGGAACUGGCGCGCUGGAGUGCCGGAGGGGUAGGCGGAAUUCCUAGUGUAGCGGUGAAAUGCGUAGAUAUUAGGAGGAACACCAGUGGCGAAGGCGGCCUACUGGACGGUGACUGACGCUGAGGCUCGAAAGCGUGGGGAGCAAACAGGAUUAGAUACCCGUGUAGUC
rnacentral:rRNA from 1 species